rnacentral:rRNA from 1 species
UACGUAGGGGGCUAGCGUUGUCCGGAUUUAUUGGGCGUAAAGAGCGUGUAGGCGGCCUGACAAGUCUGCUGUGAAAACUCGAGGCUCAACCUCGAGAUGUCGGCGGAAACUGUCUGGCUAGAGUCCGGAAGAGGAGAGUGGAAUUCCUGGUGUAGCGGUGAAAUGCGUAGAGAUCCGGAGGAACCCCAGAGGCGAAGGCGACGCCCUGGCUCGUACCUGACGCUCAGCCACGAAAGCAUGGGGAGCGAACGGG